rnacentral:rRNA from 1 species
UGAUACUAACGCCGAUAUGCUUCGGGGAGCUGUAAGUAAGCUUUGAUCCGAAGAUUUCCGAAUGGGGAAACCCACCAUACGUAAUGGUAUGGUAUCCUUAUCUGAAUACAUAGGGUAAGGAAGACAGACCCAGGGAACUGAAACAUCUAAGUACCUGGAGGAAGAGAAAGCAAAUGCGAUUUCCUGAGUAGCGGCGAGCGAAACGGAACAUAGCCCAAACCAAGAGGCUUGCCU